GAAAAGUACAAGGCCAUAAAAAGGCCUAAAAUUAGUUGGGUGUAGGAGUCAUAAGAAAAUGUUUUACAAAGUAAAACUGACAUUCAUUCCAAUGUGAUGCGUGCAGCUAGCAAUCAAAUGGUUAAAUGCAUGCAUUCCACUUAUACUACAUCCUGAUCUUCUGAAGUCGUCCUAAGGUUGGAAUCAUCAAAAAGCAUACAGUACCAAUUUGCAAAAGACAAAAUUGUAGUUGGAAGUACCAGUAUGACUUACAGGUCUCCAAGAACAGGCUUUCUUUCAAUAAUGUGAACAAACACACUUAUUGACAAUCAAUUUUCAAAUGCUUUAAAUUGCAUUCUUUUUCAAAGCUUUAUGGUAGUUCUGAAGGCAGACCAAUGUAUUCAAGUUUGAUAGAACCUAAACAAAUUGAAGUGGCCAAGUAACUGUUUU
rnacentral:misc_RNA from 1 species